AAAAAAAUGUCAUCUGUCAAAACUGAAUUUUCGAGGAAUUGUUUUUGGGAUUCAAAUUUCCUUUAAAAAGUGGUGAAAAUGUCGAAGAAACCUCUUCGAUCACAAGCAAGAAAUAUUGUUUUCAAUGUUUAUCAAAGAAUACUUGAUGAACAAGGUACAGAACAGAGACAAUCAUCGAUAUUGAGCCAUGUGCAAGCGUUGACUGGUGUUUCUAAUACUACCAUAAGACGAAUUGUUGCUGAAGGCAGAUCUAACAGAGGCGUAUUUAGUACGCCCGGUAAAAAAAGGAAAGGUGGCAAAAAUACUGCGCCUUCCUCGUUUUCCUCUUCCGAUGAAGAAUUUUUAUGGAUGUGCAGUAUUUGGAACCAUUUUCAAAUUCUAAUAGCCUAUAAUUAAUUAAUAAAUUCAUGAACAGAGUAA